GAUCAAUGAGCUUGAAAAUAAGCGUAUGUUUUGAAAACAUAAGAUAAAAACAUUGUUUUUAUUGAUUU
rnacentral:tRNA from 1 species